CCUGCCAGUAGUCAUAUGCUUGUCUAAAAGAUUAAGCCAUGCAAGUGCGAGUGAUUCUUUGGAGCGCUUUCUUGUAAAAGAGGGAGAGCUCAUGGGGAGGAUGACUGCGAAAGGCUCAUUAAAACAGUUAUGGAUCUGGAUGGUCAGAAGAAAACAAGGAGGAUAAGGGUGUGAAAAUAGAGCUAAAACGAGGGAGGGGGAUCUCGAAACAAACCCAGGUAAAAGUGGGGAAGUGAAGAAGGGAUUUCUAGAAUUUCAUAGAGAUAUGAGAGGGAGCAUGUGAAUAUUUGACCUAUCAACUGGGGAUGGUAGUAUAGGGGACUACGAUGGUGGUGACGGGUGACGGAGGAUCAGGGUUUGGUACCGGAGAGGGGGCCUGAGAGAUGGCCACCACUUCUAAGGAAGGCAGCAGGCGCGAAAAUUACCCAAUGUUGGAACAGUGAGGUAGUGACAAGGAAUAACUGUGUCGCUCUCUUCAAGAGGGGGAGAUGGUAAUGGAAGGAGGAUAGAGAGGUUCUUGAGUAACGAUCAGAGGGAAAGUGUGGUGCCAGCAGCCGCGGUAAUUCCAGCUCUGAAAGCGUAUACUAGAGUUGUUGCGGUUAAAAAGCUCGUAGUUGGAAGGGGAGAGGGACAGAUUGAGAAAAAUAGAGUGUUUAAGGGUGAAGUGGGAGAGCACAGGACGUCGACUCAAGCUUUAAUAGUUUGAGGGAGAGAAUAGAAACAAUAGAGGAUAUUAGUAUUUUAUAGUUAGAGGUGAAAUUCUAUGAUUUAUGAAAGACUAACAGGGGCGAAAGCAUUUAUCUCUUGUAUGUUUAUUGAUAAAGAACGAAAGUUAGGGGAUCGAAGAUGAUUAGAUACCGUCGUAGUCCUAGACUAUAAACAAUACUAACUAUGGAUUUGGGGGGCCAAUUCCUCUAUUACGAGAGGAAAAAGGGCGCGUGAGGACAUUGCGAGAAAUCAUUGAGUAUUUGAGUUCCGGGGGGAGUAUGGUUGCAAGACUGAAACUUAAAGGAAUUGACGGAGGGGCACCACAAGGCGUGGAGCUUGCGGCUUAAUUUGACCCAACACGGAGAAACUUACCAGACCAAGACAUCAUUGAGGAUUGACAGACGAGGAGGUUUUUCGAGAUAGGAUGGGAGGUGGUGCAUGGCCGUUCUUAGUUGGUGGAGCGAUUUGUCUGGUUAAUUCCGAUAACGAACGAGACUCCGGCAUGCUAACUAGUUACGCGGCCCCGUGCGGUCGGCGACCAACUUCUUAGAGGGACAAGGGGCGUUCAGCCACACGAGAUUGAGCAAUAACAGGUCUGGGAUGCCCUUAGAUGUCCGGGGCUGCACGCGCGCCACACUGAGUGGAUCAGCGUGUGUCUACCCUGCGCCGAGAGGCGUGGGUACCCGCUGAACCCCACUCGUGAUAGGGAUUGGGGACUGCAAUUAUUUCCCAUCAACGAGNNNNNNNCCGGCAGACGUCGGCUCUCGCAGCUGCGUCGCUCAGAAGCUCC
rnacentral:rRNA from 1 species